UACGUAGGGAGCAAGCGUUGUCCGGAUUUACUGGGUGUAAAGGGUGCGUAGGCGGGAACGCAAGUCAGGCGUGAAAUACCGGGGCUCAACUCCGGGGCUGCGCUUGAAACUGUGUUUCUUGAGUGAAGUAGAGGCAGGCGGAAUUCCUAGUGUAGCGGUGGAAUGCGUAGAUAUUAGGAGGAACACCAGUGGCGAAGGCGGCCUGCUGGGCUUUAACUGACGCUGAUGCACGAAAGCAUGGGGAGCAA
rnacentral:rRNA from 1 species